rnacentral:rRNA from 1 species
UACGAAGGGUGCAAACGUUGCUCGGAAUCAUUGGGCGUAAAGCGCACGUAGGCGGCUUCAAAAGUCGGAUGUGAAAUCCCACGGCUCAACCGUGGACGUGCAUCCGAAACUGGGAGGCUUGAGUACUGAAGAGGAUCGCGGAAUUCCCGGUGUAGAGGUGAAAUUCGUAGAUAUCGGGAGGAACACCUGCGGCGAAGGCGGGUUGCUGGGCCUUACCUGACGCUGAGGAGCGAAAGCGUGGGUAGCGAACAGG